GAUGAACGCUGGCGGCGUGCCUAAUACAUGCAAGUCGUGCGGAAAGGCCCUUCGGGGUACUCGAGCGGCGGACGGCAGAGUAACGCGUAGGAACAUACCCCAAAGUGAGGGAUAACUGCUCGAAAGAGUAGCUAAUACCGCAUGUGAUCUUCGGAUUAAAGCUUUAUGCGCUUUGGGAAUGGCCUGCGUUCGAUUAGCUAGUUGGUGAGGUAAUGGCUCACCAAGGCUACGAUCGAUAACUGGUCUGAGAGGAUGAUCAGUCUGACUGGAACUGAGACACGGUCCAGACUCCUACGGGAGGCAGCAGUAGGGAAUUUUCCACAAUGGACGAAAGUCUGAUGGAGCAACGCCGCGUGCAGGAUGAAGGCCCUCGGGUCGUAAACUGCUUUUAGUGCGAAGAAUAUGACGGUAACACAUGAAUAAGGGUCGCUAACUACGUGCCAGCAGCCGAGUAAACGUACUCAU
rnacentral:rRNA from 1 species